GUGAGAAGAGAUCAGGGGAGUUCUUCCCCUCAAAACCCUAACAUUCUAAAAUCCAUCAAAUUAAGAAGGAAAUUGAAGGCUAAGUGAAUGCAUGAACUAGGAAUGAUGAUCCCUUUAGUGUUCUUGACAUCAGGCGCAAAGAAAGACGAAGGCACGAGUUACUUGAAGUCGCAAGCAUCGCAAGACCACAGUAAAUCUCACGCUUGAUGUUGGCAAGCUCGGACCGAACACACUAUAUCGCCCUUAUGCGCUUCCGAUUCAAGUUAUCUUUUGUAAUGGUCAAAAAUCAUCUUGUAAUGUAAAUGUUAAACUUUUAUUUACGAUGGUCGUAGUAGUUUAAAGUUUUAAAUA